CAGUGAAACUGCGAAUGGCUCAUUAUAUAAGUUAUCGUUUAUUUGAUAGUGCCUUACUACAUGGAUAACCGUGGUAAUUCUAGAGCUAAUACAUGCUAAAAAUCCCGACUCACGAAGGGAUGUAUUUAUUAGAUUAAAAACCAAUGCCCUCUGGGCUCUCUGGUGAUUCAUGAUAACUGCGCGAAUCGCACGGCCUCGCGCCGGCGAUGGUUCAUUCAAAUUUCUUCCCUAUCAACUUUCGAUGUUUGGGUAGUGGCCAAACAUGGUUGCAACGGGUAACGGAGGGUUAGGGCUCGACCCCGGAGAAGGAGCCUGAGAAACGGCUACUACAUCUAAGGAAGGCAGCAGGCGCGCAAAUUACCCAAUCCCGACACGGGGAGGUAGUGACAAUAAAUACUGAUACAGGGCUCUUUCGGGUCUUGUAAUUGGAAUGAGUACAAUUUAAAUCCCUUAACGAGGAACAAUUGGAGGGCAAGUCUGGUGAACGUUGCUGGUGCCAGAGAGAGUCGCCCCUCGCGGCCCGCCCCAGCGCGGGCCGCAAAAGCUGGCUAGUCGAGCGCCCGAACUGUGACGGGUGGGCGCCGGCGAGACAACCUGGAUCGGGGAAGGCUAAGGGCCCCCAGGGCCUACGCUGAUCCCGAGCAGAGCCGCCCCGGCGGCCUGUGUAGAGCGCGCCAAGGUGUCGGUCCCGGGGAGUGCCCCGGGGCUUAAGGUACGUGCCAAUCCCCCGCGAAAGCGUGGCCCUGCGGCUGAGCACCCGUCGUGCGAGGCCCAGGGGAGGCUACCACGGUAGCCUGCAAGUCGCAGCAGUAUGCUUGC
rnacentral:rRNA from 1 species